rnacentral:lncRNA from 1 species
CUGUCUAGACCAGAGGGAUCCAGUGUCUGAACUUGUACUCAAUGGCAAGGAAAAAGGAUCUCUAUAUGCUUUUGAUGGAGAGAGUUCAUCAAAUGCCAGAGGACCCCGGGUUGUCGAACCAGUAUUUGAGUACAGGGAUUGUUCAUAGGUUGAAUGAUCAAUAGAUGUGCGAUCAUAGGUUGUUCGACCAAUAGAUUGCCCAAAACCAACAGUAUUGUCCCAUUGAGCACUCCUAUCAGACAAAUAUAAAUUCCGAAGAGGAACUGAGAUUCCUGAAAUAUCAGGCAAACUAUGGUACUUCUUUGUAUUGGCUGGAAUCCCCCCAGU